AAAUGGAGAUAGGUUUGGGAAGGUUCUGGAAGGUUGGGAAGGUUCGGGAAGGUUGGGAAGGUUCGGGAAGGUUGGGAAGGUUUGGGAAGGUUCUGGAAGGUUCCAGAAGGUUUGGGAAGGUUGGGAAGGUUCCAGAAGGUUCCAGAAAGUUCAGGAAGGUUUGGGAAGGUUCAGGAAGGUUCAGGAAGGUUUGGAAGGUUCAGGAAGGUUCCAGAAGGCUCCAGAAGGUUCGGGAAGGUUGGGAAGGUUUGGGAAGGUUGGGAAGGUUGGGAAGGUUUGGGAAGGUUGGGAAGGUUGGGAAGGUUCAGGAAGGUUUGGAAGGUUCAGGAAGGUUCCAGAAGGCUCCAGAAGGUUCGGGAAGGUUCGGGAAGGUUUGGGAAGGUUCCGGAAGGUUGGGAAGGUUCAGGAAGGUUUGGGAAGGUUUGGGAAGGUUCGGGAAGGUUCCAGAAGGUUCAGGAAGGUUCAGGAAGGUUCAGGAGGGUUGGGAAGGUUCAGGAAGGUUCCAGAAGGUUCAGGAAGGUUGGCAAGGUUGAGAAGGUUCAGGAAGGUUCCAGAAGGUUCGGGAACAUUCAGGAAGGUUCCGGAAGGUUCAGGAAGGUUCCGGAACGUUCGGGAAGGCUCGGGAAGGUUCAGGAAGGUUCUGGAAGGUUCAGGAAGG
rnacentral:lncRNA from 1 species